rnacentral:rRNA from 1 species
UACGUAGGGUGCAAGCGUUGUCCGGAAUUAUUGGGCGUAAAGAGCUCGUAGGCGGUUCGUCGCGUCGGCUGUGAAAUCCCGAGGCUCAACCUCGGGUCUGCAGUCGAUACGGGCGGACUGGAGUUCGGCAGGGGAGACUGGAAUUCCUGGUGUAGCGGUGAAAUGCGCAGAUAUCAGGAGGAACACCGGUGGCGAAGGCGGGUCUCUGGGCCGAUACUGACGCUGAGGAACGAAAGCGUGGGGAGCGAACAGG